rnacentral:rRNA from 1 species
GACGAACGCUGGCGGCAUGCCCAAUACAUGCAAGUCGAGCGAACAGAUGAGAAGCUUGCUUCUCUGAUGUUAGCGGCGGACGGGUGAGUAACACGUGGGUAACCUACCUAUAAGACUGGGAUAAAUCCGGGAAACCGGGGCUAAUACCGGAGAAUAUUUUGAACCGCAUGGUUCAAUAGUGAAAGACGGUUUCGGCUGUCACUUAUAGAUGGACCCGCGCCGGAUUAGCUAGUUGGUAAGGUAACGGCUUACCAAGGCGACGAUACGUAGCCGACCUGAGAGGGUGAUCGGCCACACUGGAACUGAGACACGGUCCAGACUCCUACGGGAGGCAGCAGUAGGGAAUCUUCCGCAAUGGGCGAAAGCCUGACGGAGCAACGCCGCGUGAGUGAUGAAGGUCUUCGGAUCGUAAAACUCUGUUGUUAGGGAAGAACAAAUUUGUUAGUAACUGAACAAGUCUUGACGGUACCUAACCAGAAAGCCACGGCUAACUACGUGCCAGCCGCCGCCGUAA